CCAUCUGAUACACCAGCCACCGCCUUAGGAAAGUACAAAGGACAUAGCCGCCGCCAUGGGUAAGUAGGAGGUGUCAACAGCCUUGGAAAUCAAGUUUCAAAUUUGAUGAUUCCCCAAAGCUAUGAAGCUAGAGCUGGAACCCUAGAAUCAGGAGCUGGAACUCUAGAAAUCUGGAGGUGGCAAGUCUAGUACCUAUAUGGUUCCUUGAGUUGCUAGAUACAUAGAUAAACAAGGGAGAGAGAGAAAAAGAGGGUUUUGGUAUCUUAGAAGUGGAGGAGUAAAAAGUCAGGUGAUUCAAAUUCCGAAAGUUUCUUUAGGAUGUCAGCUACAAAUCGUUAGAAGACCAUGGAAGCAGAUUUUAAACAGAUUUGUACAGUUUUUAACAUUAAGGAACUUGUUUUCAUCCGGAUAUUUAACGUGAAAAUCAAUCGAGGUAGGGGAAAAACUUGGGGAGCCUCUAUGUUUGCAUUGGAUGGUUGUUUACAUGAUUGUAUUGGAUGGUUGUGUACAUGAUUAUAUGCAUUUAUGUCCUCUGUUUCUGUUUGUUUGGUAUGGCUGAAUAGUGAAUACACUUACAUAUUCAAAGUAUUUGUGCAUCAAUAAGACAUGAAGUAUAAGGGUGGUGAUGGUAAUGUGAAUAUGCUAUUGGAAUGAGUAUGUUGGUUUAUCUUUUGCGUAGUUGAGUCUAUAACCUCAGCAGGUACCAGAUCCCAGGUAUGCCCACUUGUGAAUGUGCACUUAGUAUAGGAUAUUGAAAGGGUAAUUCGGGACUGGC